GCCGCAGUAUAUUAACUGUGCAAAGGUAGCAUAAUCAUUUGUUAUUUAAUUGAUAACUGGAAUGAAUGGUUUUAUAAAAAAUAUUCUUUUUUUAUUUUUAAUUUAAAAUUUUAUUUUAGAGUCAAAAAGCUUUAAUUUACUUAUUAGACGAUAAGACCCUUUAGAACUUUAAUAUUAUUUUGAAUUAUAUUUUUAGUUUUAUAAAUAUAAAUUAUUUAUAUAUUUUUGUUGGGGUGACAGUUAAAUUUUUAAAACUUUAAUUUAUAUUUAUUCAUAUAUUUAUGAUUUUUUUGAUCCAAUAUUUUUGAUUAUAAGAUUAAGUUACCUUAGGGAUAACAGCGUAAUUUUGUUGGAGAGUUCUUAUUAAUAACAAAGUUUGCGACCUCGAUGUUGGAUUAAA
rnacentral:rRNA from 1 species